UACGUAGGGUCCAAGCGUUAUCCGGAAUCACUGGGCGUAAAGCGUGCGUAGGUGGCGCGUUAAGUGAGAUGUUAAAUCGUGUGGCUCAACCAUAUCGAUGCAUCUCAUACUGGCGUGCUAGAGGACAGGCAGAGGCAAGUGGAAUUUGUAGUGUAGCAGUGAAAUGCGUAGAUAUUACAAGGAACACCAAUGGCGAAGGCAGCUUGCUGGGCUACUCCUGACACUGAGGUACGAAAAGCGUGGGGGAGCGAACAGG
rnacentral:rRNA from 1 species